CAACUUUGCUCAUGUCAGGACGAGGUUUUUCUCCUGUUCCUGACAUGGCUGUGGGGGCACAUUAGGGUGUUGUAGGGCCUCUCCUCCCAUCCGAUCUAAAAGAAUCGGGCCUUUGACUUUGCUCAUGUUAGGGCGAGGUUCUCCUCCUAUCCCUAACAUGGCUGUGGGGGCGCAUUAGGAUGUUGUAGGGCCUCUCCCCCCAUCCGGUCUAAAAGAAUCGGGCCUUUGACUUUGCUCAUGUCAAAGCAAGAUUCUCCACCUGUCCCUAACAUGGCUGUGGGGGCGCAUAAGGGCGUUGUAGGGCCUCUCUCCCCA
rnacentral:lncRNA from 1 species